CAGCAGCCGCGGUAAUACGUAGGGUGCGAGCGUUAAUCGGAAUUACUGGGCGUAAAGCGUGCGCAGGCGGUUUGUUAAGUCAGAUGUGAAAUCCCCGGGCUCAACCUGGGAACUGCAUUUGUGACUGGCAAGCUAGAGUAUGGCAGAGGGGGGUGGAAUUCCGCGUGUAGCAGUGAAAUGCGUAGAUAUAUGGAGGAACACCGGUGGCGAAAGCGGCUCUCUGGCUUGUAACUGACGCUGAGGCUCGGAAGCGUGGGGAGCAAACAGGAUUAGAGACCCCCGUAGUCCCUGUCUCUUAUAC
rnacentral:rRNA from 1 species